rnacentral:lncRNA from 1 species
CGUUUGGUAAAGCUGAAUGCAAAUAUAUUUGCUGCAACUCAUUUAAAGCCUUCUUCUCUAUUGAGAAAGGUAAAUAUGCUAGAUAUACUUACUGGAGGUGUGAUGAGAUGAUUGAAGCUGUUAAUUUUCUCCCUAUACAUAUUUGUGUUCGCUUUGGCAACAAAGUUUAUCGACAGGUUGUAGGUAUCCCCAUGGGCACUAAUUGUGCCCCUUUAAUAGCAGACUUGUUUUU